rfam:Oscillatoria acuminata PCC 6304, complete genome.
GUUUCCGUCCCCUUGCGGGGAAUUGAUAGGAAUUAAC